CUCCAGUACGACCUUAAAUUUGUGCCACGUGUCUGGGCCACUGAUCUAACCGAUGGGAUUGAAGAACUGAGGAG
ensembl:snoRNA